GAGAUGUUUUCUAUAGAGAUGUUGUCUAUAGAAAUGUUGUCUAUAGAGAUGUUGUCAACAGAGAUGUUGUCAACAGAGAUGUUUUUAACACAUAUAUUUUUAAAAGAGAUGUAGUAAUUAAUCUUCAUUGAAAAUGCUGCACCAAACCUGUAAUACAAAAGUCUUGUCAACCAUGAAAAAAUUGCUGCUGGCGUUAAGCCAUGACCAUCGUCAUAGCAUGCAUCAUCAAUACUAAAAACAAAUUAAAAUUUAUUUUAAACUAAAUUGCUGCCUGUAAAACGAAUCAUCUUCAAUUAUACUGACACUUUUUGUUUCACUGUUUCUUGGAUGUACUGAAAGUCAGCAAUGUCACCCGAGCCACCAAUUACAGUGUUCUUGUUCACCUUCAUAAGACGUGAGAGUUGUCUGAAGCGUGCCAAUGAGCCAUAGGAGCCUAAAAUGAAGAAAUGCAAAUAAGCUUCAUUCUUAGCAAUUCAAUUACACUGGAAGACAGCUCACCUAAGGUGUCUGCUGCUAAAGCAACUCCUCCAUUGAAGCAAAUCCCAAGAACUGAUGUUCCCUGAGUAACUGGAUACCUAAUGAAGAAAAAUGGCUUUCGUUUAAGUAAGGCGGCACUCUACAUCAUUUGUAAAAUAUAUAUAAAAUGUCGGUCCAUAAACUGAGAGAAAAUGAAAAAUGUCUGGUCCAGGUGAAAUUGAAGGAAAGGUAAUUAAAAAGUCAGCCUCAGAUCACAGAAUGUCUGAGCCCCAUAUUAUAUAUUUCACUCUUGAGUUUUAAGGAUCUUUACAUUUGGGUAAAACAAAAUUGCAAAAAAAUUUCUCUCAUUUUUGCCAUGCUCGUGUAAUUUGGUUCAGUCGUGACGUCACAAGCUAGCCACAAUAGAAACUGAACGUACGUACGCAAGAAACAAGAAUUUUAUUACUUUAUAGAAGGUAAAAACAAGGCAUUAUGCGUCAGUGUAAAAUUAUAAUUGAUAUCACUUGAAAGUAAAAUUUGUUUAGAAAAUAAACAUUAAAAUUUCACAACGAAAUAUCUUAAUAAAUUUAUCAGUAGACAAUAGACAGUAAUAUUAUCAGAAAACAUUAGUUAAA